CACCGCGGUUAUACGAGAGGCCCAAGUUGAUAAUUACCGGCGUAAAGAGUGGUUAAGAUUAAUUACAAAACUAGAGCCGAAAGCCCCCACAGCUGUUAUACGCAAUCGAGGGUAAGAAGCCCAAUUACGAAAGUAGCUCUACACCGUCUGACUCCACGAAAGCUAGGGCA
rnacentral:rRNA from 1 species